rnacentral:lncRNA from 1 species
CUCCCUCUCUCCCUCCCUUCCUACUAAAAACCAAUAAGGCUAGGGAGCCUAUCUGCAUAGUUCUGUGAAUGUCUCGGAACAAAGCAAUACACAGAAGCUAAUGCUCUCAUCCUGUGUAAGAUACAAAUCUUGUCACAUCAUGGACCAUCGUGGAGCAUGAAGCUAUUUCUAAUGUGAUGGGGGAAAUGUUUCUAGCAGAAGAGCAAGACAUGGUCCUGGUGCAUGAAAGGAGCCUAAGAAAGAAGAGUGAAAGCUGCACGUGUGUGAGUAUCUAGCAGAACAUCUAGAAAAUGCACACCAACCUCCAGCAGCAGAAAACAGUCUACCUCCAGAAAGCCAUAAAAGAGAAAAGAAUGUUGUACCAAACUAAGCAAAUGAAGCAUGAAAUGAAAAGCCGGUUGAGCUGGGAGGUAUAAAGAAUGGAAAGGAAGCAGCUACCACCCCUGGUAACCCCAUCAAUCCGGAGAAGCUUCGCAGAGUUACACUGUGCUCUGUCGGGAAGGAAAUGAAUUUUCCUCAUUGUACACAUUCCGAGAAAAAUGAGGCUAAGACUAUUUCAAAGGAUGUUCUACCUAAUUCGAAUGGGCUUUAAGUGCCAUCUUCACAAUAGCGCCAGAGUCUGGUGUCAGCAAACUGAACAAAUAGAGCUACAGGGAGCGAAUGGGGCUGGGUGCCUCUCCAAAACAUAUGCAGAUGAACUUGAGAUUUCAGAGGACGGUUAAUCCUACACAGCAGUCAAGUGCCUUCCCAGGGGGCUCCCUUCCAAACACUGGCUGCCACGUCAAACCAAAGGGGACGAGCAAUCAGACUCACCUCAAACGCCAGUUAAGAAAGCCGGCCUUACUUAAGCAAUCAAGGGCAAGUGAUCAGCCAACUCUGCUUUCUUUCCUUUCUCUUGGAUCAUUUAUAGACCUUGUGGCCGUGGCCACCACAUUGAGAAGCCCUUGGUCUCUACUUGGACUCACUAUAGCAGGU